ensembl:lncRNA
CUCACCUCCAAAACACCUCAUUCUCCCCUGGGGUUGACAUCUCUACGGUGACUCACCUCCAAAACACCUCAUUCCCCCCUGACUCCCCUGAGGUUGACAUCUCUACGGUGACUCACCUCCAAAACACCUCAUUCCCCACUGACUCCCCUGAGGUUGACAUCUCUACGGUGACUCACCUCCAAAACACCUCAUUCCCCCCUGACUCCCCUGAGGUUGACAUCUCUACGGUGACUCACCUCCAAAACACCUCAUUCCCCCCUGACUCCCCUGGGGUUGACAUUCACAUUGUUUCAUUAAUCUGAAACAACUUUCUGC